UACGUAGGGUGCAAGCGUUGUCCGGAAUUAUUGGGCGUAAAGAGCUCGUAGGCGGUUUGUCACGUCGGCUGUGAAAACCCGAGGCUCAACCUCGGGCCUGCAGUCGAUACGGGCAGACUAGAGUAUGGCAGGGGAGACUGGAAUUCCUGGUGUAGCGGUGAAAUGCGCAGAUAUCAGGAGGAACACCGGUGGCGAAGGCGGGUCUCUGGGCCAUAACUGACGCUGAGGAGCGAAAGCCAGGGGAGCAAACGGG
rnacentral:rRNA from 1 species